GUUCAGGGGUCUGUCACGUUAUGUUGGUAUAUGAGUGACUAGAAAAAUAUGUUAACUGCGAUUUUAAGAGUUUUAAACGGUAAUUCUUAUCGUGUUGCCUUAGCAUGUCACUUAAUUACUGAUAAAUGUUUGCUGAAAUAAGACUUUAAGGUUUGCUGAAGACGAACUUAUGGAAACAACUGUACAACUAAAAAAACAAAAAUAGGUAUAAAAAGGGCUUUAUGACACCCCCAGGAAUAAGGCUGGGUGUUUGCUACACAGCUGCUGUCUGGGAAGAUGACAGGCCUGUGUGGAGUUCUGGCAGGUCAGCCAAGCCCUUGCAUUUUUUUUUUCUUCUCUAAGGCCUCUCCCUGCUCCAGGGCGUUGGAGUCACACAAGGGGAUGGGAAAUAUCCGCUGCCGCCGCCUCUCCUCUCGCAGAUGAGACAUGUCUGCUUUCGUUCUGGAUGUUUCUGGAUGUGCAAUCUCGUUCAUAAGGUCCCAGGAACUGGGCCCGCGUCCAGGAGCCUAAGGUUCUCCGUUAAUCUGGGGUAACACUUGGGAAACACUGGUGUAGAGGUCAUAUCUUUUUGCUUUUCUCUGGCACAUUUGAAUUUUGUUGAAAGUUACAAGUUACCUAUCAUUUAUGACUCUGAUUCCUGCUUCAGAUGGUCAGUUAGUAAUACCUUAGCGAAGAACCUCGUAUUUUUUUAGUUUAUUUAAUUGAUUUCUGGUUCUGUAUAUUAGUUCUCACCAGCUUACUAAAACUCCAACAGAAAGUGAUAAAUCAAACUUCUAGUUGUAUUUAUUUUGUGUAUGUGUAUUUUGGGGGGUGGGGCUGAUUCGGAGGGGUGUCUGCUGAUAUCAGAAGUGGCGUUUGAUUGUAAAUCAGCAUUGAAUCACACCGAUUUCCCAGCCUAUUUCCCAGGUGCUUGCUUUUCUUUUUUUUGCUCUUCUGGUGGCGUGACUGUUCUCCUCACCUGCCUCAUGAUUCACCGUGUCUCUCCCCUUCCGCCCCCCCCAACCUCUCCACAAUUUUGUUUCACUAUCCUCUCAUUUUCCCCCACCCUUCCCACUCCCACUACAGGCAGCUGUUUAGGAGAUGUCUCAUUCUUACAUGCCUUUGAUUUUUUUUUCUUUUUUCACUCUGAGGUAAUUUGAUUGGUUGCUCAUAGUUUCUGGGUCCCUCCCACUUUGUAAUAAUUGAAGUUCCUGUAGUGUCCACGGCUUUUGGCUAUAAAGUAGCAAAAUUAAAUGCCCUUCUCUCCUGU